GAAUUCGUAGCUCAUUGGUAGAGCGUUUGGUGCACCUAGACAUAUUGUUUGUGUCGCUGGUUUGAAUCCAGUCGAAGUCC